rnacentral:rRNA from 1 species
UGAGGAAUAUUGGUCAAUGGGCGAGAGCCUGAACCAGCCAAGUAGCGUGCAGGACGACGGCCCUAUGGGUUGUAAACUGCUUUUGCGCGGGGAUAAAGUGCGCCACGUGUGGCUCAUUGCAGGUACCGCGCGAAUAAGGACCGGCUAAUUCCGUGCCAGCAGCCGCGGUAAUACGGAAGGUCCGGGCGUUAUCCGGAUUCAUUGGGUUUAAAGGGAGCGCAGGCCGCCCCUUAAGCGUGUUGUGAAAUGCCGCGGCUCAACCGUGGCACUGCAGCGCGAACUGGUUUUCUUGAGUGCGCGCGACGCAGGCGGAAUUCGUGGUGUAGCGGUGAAAUGCUUAGAUAUCACGAGGAACCCCGAUUGCGAAGGCAGCUUGCGGGAGCGCAACUGACGCUGAAGCUCGAAGGUGCGGGUAUCGAACAGGAUUAGAUACCCUGGUAGU